UCGGGAAUUUAAUCGGAAGCGUAUCGUACGAAUUAGCAUCGGACGAGGCCCGCUAGACGAAGGCCCAGCACGAAGCCAGGCCGUCGCCCAGCGAGCCAACGCGCACCAUCGCACGCCAAGCCUCGACCAGGCCCAGCGCAAGGCCAGGCCCAGCCAAGGCCUUGGGCGCGCGCGCGAGAGCACAGCAGUGGGCCGAGCGCUGUGCGCCUAGCGUGGGCCGCAAGGCUUGCGCGGGUGUACGGUGCUCGUGCAAUGCUUGUGCGGGAAUCCUGAAGCAAUCAGGAUUCGAAGUGUGAUUAAAUCCUAAAACUAUUAGAUAAUGAUUAUUUAAUUAGAGUCCUGGUAAGGUUAUAAUUAAAUAAAUUACUAUCUUAAUAGGAUUCCAAAACCCUUUCCAUAACUCUAUAAAUAGGUGCCUAGGGUCACAUAUUUUCAGAGAUUAUUCAAGUAUUCAAAGUGAGUUUUUGAGAGAAAAUUCAGACACAUUCCUUGACUAAAAGUGCCGAAAAUCUUUAGUACCUUAAGGGCGAUUCUAGUUGGUCAAUCUUAAGGCGGAUCUGGACGUGCUGUGGACUAUCUACGGAGGGACGACACUUGGAGUCCUAAAGACUUGUUCUUGUUCGGUUCGGGCGCAGCUAGGGAAGGCACGCAACAAAGAGUAUGCAUCUAAACUAUGCUAUAUGAUUAUGUGUAAAUAAUAUGUAUUCCUGGCUAAAUGGUUUUUCCGCAUGAUUUAUGAAUUGUCAUAUGUAUCAUAACCUAACAGAAUUUGUAUACCUGCUUUGGCGUGGAUAGCCUAGGCGUUGGUGUAGAACUUGUAUACCUGCUUCGGCGUGGAUAGCCUAGGCGUUGGUGUAGAACUUGAAUUUUGAACCAGAGGUCCCAGGCUGGAUUAGUACUGCUGCUGGGGAUUCUUUUGAAUUUUUGAUUUUGUACCGGCUAGUAUAGGAUAGCCUUUUGAAUUUUGAUUUUUGUAUGGGCUAGUAUAGGAUAGCCCCCAGUUUAGAGUUUUGAAACUUUGUACUCCGCUUGAUUUAGUAUGCCUCGUCAUACUCGGAGGAAGCUCGCCGAAUCUUCGGUGGUUCGAGCUGCUGAGGAGGAUGCUUCGGAUGAUGAAGCGGCUGCGAUAAAUGCGCCGGAUGGGGGUAUGAUUCCCCGGAGAGAAUCCACUUUUAUUGGUACUGGUGGAGUCCUUCCGAUCUGGUGUUUCGACCGGAGUUUCACUUGUCUCAACGGCCUCGCGCUGGCUUGGCUGAUGGAGAGCCGUUUUGCACCUUCUAGUCCUUGGCGGAGCUUUAGAAGGCUUUUGCAGCCAUUCGUGCUGACGAGGAGGCCAUGGAGAUCUGGUUACAGACGGGCCUGGUUGACUUCUGGCGUGCCAUGGGAGGCACUUCGAGGAGAACGGGGAUCGAACCCCGGCUAUGGGCUUUGCUAGAGAGGUGGUGGGAUACCACCAACACUUUCCAUAUGGCAUGGGGGGAGAUCACCAUCACCCCUUUUGAGUUUGCUAUGAUUACGGGUCUUCCUUUUUCUGAGAGGAAUGUGACCUUUGAUUCGGAGCUGACGUGGCUCGACCCUGUUGUUGACUUGUCAGAGGACUACACCCAUGCUUCCGUGACGGUGAUUGUAGAUGCUAUCCGUGGUGCGGGUGUGUCUGCAGAGCAGAGGGUUAGGCUGUUCCUCUUAGCUUUGGUGAGUAGGGUUGUGGCCCCGAGCAGGAACAAUCGGGUGCACAUUAGCUUCUUGUCAGCUUUGCAGGAUUUGAGGGCUGUUUCGAGCUACAACUGGGGUGGUUUGGCCUAUAGCCACCUCUUGUACGAGAUGUAGUGGGCCUCCCGGACUGCGCCGGAGAGCGAGCCGAGCAUGGCUGCUCUGUGGAGUGUGCUGGAGAUUUGGAUAUAUGAGCACUUUCCGACUUUGGCGCCGGAUCGUACUGGAGAUGCGGCUUACCCGUAUGCUGCCUCUUGGAUAGGAGCGGUGCGCAGGAGGGUGGCUCUGGCGGCCUCCCGCAGAGCUUGGAUAGUUCUACCUGCUGAUGAGUUGGUGUGGCGUCCUUUUGCCAACGCGCCUGUACCUGCCUCGACGGCUCGCGCCCACUUCUUGUCUGGACGGCGGGUUUUGCUCCCAGGGGUGUACCGCCAUAUGUGGUAUUUGGGGUAGCGAGUGUCCCUUCAGCACCAUUCGGGGAACAGGUUUGUCCCCAAGGGCCCGUCGGAGUCCAUGCUGGCGCCGGAUGAAGAUCUUGCCCAACUCUAUGUGAACGCUAGGGGCGAUGCUGUUUGCCGCUCUUGGAGGGACUUUGUACAAAGGAAGGGUAGCUAUGACGACUUCCUGAGGAGGCUGGCUCCACCAGUACGCUUCGUACUGCCGAAAUCGGACUCGGAGCUCAGGAAGAACGAACCAACGAAAAGGCUUAGCAAAAUCGUGGAAGUGAGGUACUGCGGGGAACGAUGGAAACGAGUAGUGGCGAGGAUUUUCACUUUUAUAUUAUUCACCUAGUUUAUGCUUAAUGUUUUA